GAUGAACGCUGGCGGCGUGCCUAAUACAUGCAAGUCGAGCGAACGGACGAGAAGCUUGCUUCUCUGAUGUUAGCGGCGGACGGGUGAGUAACACGUGGAUAACCUACCUAUAAGACUGGGAUAACUUCGGGAAACCGGAGCUAAUACCGGAUAAUAUUUUGACCCGCAUUGUUCCAAAGUGAAAGACGGUCUUGCUGUCAGUAAUAGAUGGAUAAGCGCUGCAUCAGCGAGUUGGUAAGGUAACGGGUUACCAAGGCAACGAUGCAUAGCCGACCCGAGAGGGUGAUCCGCCACACUGGAACUGAGGCACGUUCCAGACUCCUACGGUAGGCAGCAGUAGGGAAUCUUCCGCAAUGGGCGAAAGGCUGACAGAGCAAAGCCGCGUGAGGGAUGAAGGUCUUCGGAUCGUAAAGUUCUGUUAUUAGGGAAGAACAUAUGUGUAAUUAACUGUGCACAUCUUGACGGUACCUAAUCAGAAAGCCACGGCUAACUACGUG
rnacentral:rRNA from 1 species